CCAGACGGGAUCCUGGAACAGGAUCCCAACAAAUUUGGCAACAGCUGGAGAGCAGCAGAUGACCAGUGGAGGUGUCUCCCAGAACCCCCAGUUCCACUCCCCUGCGACCCUGCGCAAGAGGCCGUUUUCGAAGAUCAGUGCAGAGUGAUUCUGUCCACAAACGGGCCUUUAGCGGCCUGCCAUUGGAGCGUCCCUCCCCAGCUGUACUUUGAAAGCUGCGUGUAUGACCAGUGUGCCACCGGGGGACAUCUAGGGCAGUUGUGCAAAAGCCUGGAAGCAUAUGCCGCCGCAUGCGAAGUCAACGGCGUAGACCUCGGCGACUGGAGAAAGGAUACGGCCUGUGAAUCCUGCUUCUUUAACUGCUCCUUUGACCGAGACUUUUGUGAAUGGCGUCAGCCUGUGACAGAUGACUUUGAUUGGAGUCGUGCCCCACGUUGCUCCUUGGAGGGUACGCCAGGUGCCGAGCCUAUGUGCAAUUC